rnacentral:rRNA from 1 species
GACGAACGCUGGCGGCGUGCUUAACACAUGCAAGUCGAACGGAAAGGCCCUGCUUGUGUGCGGUGCUCGAGUGGCGAACGGGUGAGUAACACGUGAGUAACCUGCCCUUGACUUUGGGAUAACUUCACGAAACUGGGGCUAAUACCGUAUAGGAGCUCCUGCUGCAUGGUGGGGGUUGGAAAGUUUCGGCGGUUGGGGAUGGACUCGCGGCUUAUCAGCUUGUUGGUUGGGUAGUGGCUUACCAAGGCUGUGACUGGUAGCCGGCCUGAGAGGGUGACCGGCCACAUUGGGCCUACGAUACGGACCAGACUCCUACGUGGGGCAGCAGUGGCGAAUAUUGCACAGUGGGCGGAAGCCUGAUGAAGAAACGUCGCGUUUGUAAUGACGGCCUUUGGGUUGUAAACCGCUUUAGCCUGUGACGAAGCGUGAGUGACGGUAAUGGGUGAAUAAGCACCGGCUAACUACGUG